CUCCUAUCUGAGGACCUAAGGAGGUGAACAUUCUCUUCUCCUUUUCCUAUCUGAGGUGAACAUUCUCUUCUCCUAUCUGAGGACCUAAGGAGGUGAACAUUCACUUCUCCUUUUCCUAUCUGAGGACCUAAGGAGGUGAACAUUCUCUUCUACUUCUCCUAUCUGAGGACCUAAGGAGGUGAACAUUCUCUUCUCCUUCUCCUAUCUGAGGACCUAAGGAGGUGAACAUUCACUUCUCCUUCUGCUAUCUGAGGACAUAAGGAGGUGAACAUUCACUUCUCCUAUCUGAGGACCUAAGGAGGUGAACAUUCACUUCUCCUAUCUGAGGACAUAAGGAGGUGAACAUUCACUUCUCCUUCUGCUAUCUGAGGACCUAAGGAGGUGAACAUUCACUUCUCCUUCUAUCUGAGGACAUAAGGAGGUGAACAUUCACUUCUGCUAUCUGAGGACCUAAGGAGGUGAACAUUCACUUCUCCUUCUGCUAUCUGAGGACCUAAGGAGGUGAACAUUCACUUCUCCUUCUCCUAUCUGAGGACCUAAGGAGGUGAACAUUCACUUCUCCUUCUGCUAUCUGAGGACAUAAGGAGGUGAACAUUCUCUUCUCCUUCUCCUAUCUGAGGACCUAAGGAGGUGAACAUUCACUUCUCCUUCUCCUAUCUGAGGACCUAAGGAGGUGAACAUUCACUUCUCCUAUCUGAGGACCUAAGGAGGUGAACAUUCACUUCUCCUUCUGCUAUCUGAGGACCUAAGGAGGUGAACAUUCACUUCUCCUGCUAUCUGAGGACCUAAGGAGGUGAACAUUCACUUCUCCUGCUAUCUGAGGACCUAAGGAGGUGAACAUUCACUUCUCCUUCUGCUAUCUGAGGACCUAAGGAGGUGAACAUUCACUUCUCC